rnacentral:misc_RNA from 1 species
AAGUCGUAACAAGGUUUCCGUAGGUGAACCUGCGGAAGGAUCAUUAAUGAAUUUUCACCAAAAAUAUAUGGGAGAAUUUCAAAAAAAAAAAUAUUCCAUAUCCACCUUUGUGUGCACCGAAAACAAAAUAUGGUUUUGAAAGUCCUUUUGGUCGUUGCAUAAAGAUUUAUCUUUUUCCACGGCCAAAAGGCAGCUUUCUCUGCCUUUUUUUUUAACGCGUCUAAAAAACAAUAAAGUCUGAAAAAUUCAUAACAAUGAAAAAAACAAUAAAUAUAAAAACAACUUUCAGCAACGGAUCUCUAGGCUCUU